rnacentral:rRNA from 1 species
CUGGUCUUGACAUGUCGAGAACUUUCCAGAGAUGGAUUGGUGCCUUCGGGAACUCGAACACAGGUGCUGCAUGGCUGUCGUCAGCUCGUGUCGUGAGAUGUUGGGUUAAGUCCCGCAGCGAGCGCAACCCUUGUCCUUAGUUGCCAGCACGUAAUGGUGGGAACUCUAAGGAGACCGCCGGUGACAAACCGGAGGAAGGUGGGGAUGACGUCAAGUCAUCAUGGCCCUUUACGGCCUGGGCUACACACGUGCUACAAUGGUCGGUACAGAGGGCUGCCAAGCCGCGAGGUGGAGCUAAUCCCAUAAAACCGAUCGUAGUCCGGAUCGCAGUCUGCAACUCGACUGCGUGAAGUCGGAAUCGCUAGUAAUCGCGAAUCAGAAUGUCGCGGUGAAUACGUU